rnacentral:RNase_P_RNA from 1 species
CCAGACGGCUGGAUGAUCGCUCUCAUUUAGGUGAGGGAGGAAAGUCCGGGCUCCACGGAAAAACGGUGGCGGGUAACACCCGCCGGAGGCGACUCCAGGGAUAGUGCCACAGAAAAUAGACCGCCUACUCUGUAGGUAAGGGUGCAAAGGUGCGGUAAGAGCGCACCGCGUUUCUGGUAACAGGAAUGGCAGGGAAAACCCCGCCGGGAGCAAGACCAAAUAGGGAUAGCACGUACUUCGGUACAGGCGUUUUUCCGCGCUCGCUAUCCGGGUAGGUCGCUCGAGGUGGCUGGCAACAGCCAUCCCAGAUGAAUGAUUGUCUUCGACAGAACCCGGCUUACAGGCCGUCUGGGGUU